rnacentral:rRNA from 1 species
GGACCCGCACAAGUAGUGGAGCAUGUGGUUUAAUUCGAAGAUACGCGCAGAACCUUACCAACACUUGACAUGUUCGUCGCGACUUUAAGAGAUUAAAGUUUUCGGUUCGGCCGGACGAAACACAGGUGCUGCAUGGCUGUCGUCAGCUCGUGUCGUGAGAUGUUGGGUUAAGUCCCGCAACGAGCGCAACCCUCACUUUUAGUUGCCAUCAUUAAGUUGGGCACUCUGAAAGAACUGCCAGUGAUAAGCUGGAGGAAGGUGGGGAUGACGUCAAGUCCUCAUGGCCCUUACGUGUUGGGCUACACACGUGCUACAAUGGUAUCUACAACAGGAAGCAAGACUGCGAAGUUAAGCAAAUCCUUAAAAUGUACCUCAGUUCGGAUUGUACUCUGUAACUCGAGUGCAUG